rnacentral:rRNA from 1 species
GACGAACGCUGGCGGCGUGCUUAACACAUGCAAGUCGAACGAUGAAACCUAGCUUGCUAGGUCGAUUAGUGGCGAACGGGUGAGUAACAAGUGACUAACCUGCCCAUUUCUCUGUGAUAACGAUCCGAAAGGAGUGCUAAUACCGGAUACACACACCUAGUCACCUCACGUGGUUUGAAAAGAUUUUCGGAAAGGGAGGGAGUAGCGGCCUAUCCGCGUGUUGGUUAGGUAACGGCUCACGAAGGCGACGACGGGUAGCCGGCCUGAGAGGGCGACCGGCCACACUGGGACUGAGACACGGCCCAGACUCCUACGGGAGGCAGCAGUGGGGAAUAUUGCACAAUGGGCGCAAGCCUGAUGCAGCGAUGCCGCGUGAGGGAUGAAGGUCUUCGGAUUGUAAACCUCUUUCAGUAGGGACGAAGCGAAAGUGACGGUACCUAAAGAAGAAGCACCGGCUAACUACGUGCCAGCAGCCGCGGUAA